CUGAAUGAUUUUGACAAUUAAUCAUCUGGCGCAGCUGGUGAUUGGAAUUAAUUUGAUGAUUGGAUGAGUGCGUUCGAUGGUUGUGUUGUAGGUUUUAUGCGACCGAGGGCACCACAUUACUCCCCCUUUGAUGAAGUGUUACAGUUUGGAUUUUCGUCUUCGGAGUCCGAACCAGAAGAUGAUGA